AAUAAUGUAUUUCUAUUUACUAGAAUUUAAUGUGUUUACAUGUGAAAAAGUAAUAAAAUGGGAAAUGUUCAAAUAUUUAUUAAACGUAAUAGGUGUGUAAAAAUGAAUGUUUCGAAGUGAAAUUAUAAUUCUAUUUGGAUAUUAAGGACGAAAGUGGAUAAAUAUAAAUAUUUGUUCAAACUUUGAAGAUUUUAUAAGUAUAGUUUAAUUUACACCCAUGUUAAUAAUACAUCCAUGCAUGAUUUCAAUUGACUGCCUGCGAGUGUGAUUAUGAGAAAAUUGUUCUUCGACGUCAGGUGGUAAUUCUUAUCUCGCCGCAGCAUGUAUAUUAUGAUAUCGGCUUCAGGGAGUUAAUGAUGAAGCAGUCAACUCUGCCAUGUCCAAGGUCUUCGACAAAGAAACAAACAAAAAAAAACACCAACAUUGAGGGAUACAAUAGGGAUUGUGUAAUGGAGUAAGGUUGAUUGAAGAGAGAGCAACUUUGAAAAGGUUUAUGAGGUUCUACAGAAAAGAGGCAUAACACAUCCAUAUUAAAGCUGGAAAACUGUCCAAGACCAUCUGUAAUCUGUUCCUCCAUGAUGUCCCAGAUAAUGUGAAAUAAGGUUUUCAGUGACUUUAUUUUUACCUAGAUGUUUCAUCGUGUUGUACAGCCUCCAGAUAAUUUCCUCUAGUAACUUUUGUCGUGUGGCCGACUUAAAUAUUGCCAGAUCUAAAGAUUAGACCAUUGAAAGAAAAUCGUGAAAAGUCAUUUACCAAAGGUUGACUGCAUGACGGGAAAGAGUUUUUAAAAGGGGAUAAUAAGGGAAAAGGUAUUUCUUUGUGGUGUUAAUAUAAAUCUAUGAAAACUUGUACCAGAUGUUUUUUCACAACAGCUUCUAAAGGUAAAGAAAGAAUUUAAAUAUGUAAUGGAGAUCAGCACUAGAUAGUUCAUUGAAUUGUCAGCUUUAAAAUUUAGGAAAGUUUGUGUUAAGCCCAUUAUGUGGAAAUAUGAAACCAGUUAGUUUCAGGUUUGAUAAGCCAGUGAUGCAGAAAUACAGUCAUAAGAAGUCCAUGUUCAAGCUAGAUGAAAAAUGCCCUGGGUCAUCUGUAACAAGUUCUCUCCAUGAUUAAUGUAUUAGAUCUCAUACUAGAGCAAACUUUUACAUCUCUGGUGGAGUCUUAAUGAUGAAGCUCUUAACAGUGAUAUGUCCAAGGUCAUUGAUAGAAACUAAAAAAUCUGACUUUGAGGGAUACAGUUUGGAUUGUGCAACAUAUAAGGCUGGCUGAAAAGAGCAACCUUGAAAAGGUGAUGUUAAUAUUGGAGGUAAUUCUGAUGUUAGAUACAUGUUUCAAUGAAAGGUUACAUGAAUUUUUACAGGACAUUUUUGCACAACAGCUUUUCAAAGGCAGGAAUAACCUUCCCACUUCUAGAUACUUCGUUUAACAGUUAAAUUAAAAUAUGGAAAUGUUUGAACCAAGAAAUAUGAAGCAAGUUUGUUUCAGGUUUAAAGAGGUUCUUAUACAGGAAAGAGACAUAACAUGGCCAUAUUAAAGUUAGAAAAAUGCCAUCCCUGACCAUCUGUAACCAUCCACCAUGAUGUGUGCGAUUGUGUGAAACAAGUUUCUCAGUGACUUCUUUUUUGCCUAGAUGUUUCAUCAUCUUGAAUAGCCUUCAGAUAAUAUCCCUUUGGAAUUUUCUUCAUGUCAACUUUAACAUUGCCAUAUGCAAAGAUUAGGUCAUUGGAGGGAAAUUGUGAAAGGUCACAGACCAAGGGUUAACUAGUCCACAGAAAAGGAGUUUAUUAAAGAUCAUGAUGAGACUAGAGGUUUAAAUACUUAGUUGAGAUCGGCACUAGAUAGUUCAUUUAUUUGUCAGCUUUAAGAUUUAGGAAUGUUUGUUUUUAGCCCAUUGUUUGGAAAUAUGAAACCAGUUCGUUUCAGGUUUAAAAUGCGUAUGAUGCAGAAAUACAGUCGUAAGAAGUCCAUGUUCAAGGUAGAGGAAAAAUGCCCUGGGUCAUCUGUAACAAGUUCUCUCCAUCGUUGAUGUACUGGAGCUCACUCAUUCUUGAGUAAACUUUUACAUCUCUGGCGGAGCAGUCAACAGUGAUAUGUCCAAGGUCAUCGAUUAGGAACUUUAAAAAACCUGACUUUGAGGUACACAGCAGUUAUUGUGUUAUGGAAUAAGGCUGACUGAAAAGAGAACAACUUUGAAUUAGUGAGGUUAAUAUUUGAGGUAUUUCUCUCAAGUUAGGUGUAAGAAUGAAGGUUACAUUUUUACAAAACAUUUUUGUGCAACAGUUUUUCAAAGGCAGCAAUAACAUUCUGAAUUCUAGAUUCUUUAUUUUUAAAGUUAAAUUCAAAAUAUAGAAAUGUUUAUACCAGAAAAUGUGAAGCUAGUUCGUUUCAGGUUUAAAGAGGUUUUCUAUAAUAAAAAAAAAAGUCAUAACUUGUCCAUAAUAAAGCUGGAAGACCAGACCAUCCCCAGCCAUCUGUAGCCUGUUCCUCCAUGAUGUCCCUGAUCAUGUGACCUCAUUGUUGCCUAGAUGUCAUGUACGCCUCCAGAUAAUGCCCCAUUGGAACGUUUUUCAUGAUGUCUACUAUAAUAUUGCCAUAUGCAAAGAUUAGUUCAUUGAAAAGAAAUUGUAGAAGGUCAGAGAACAAGGGUCAAUCACAUGACAGAAAAGAGGAGUUUUUGAAAGGUGAUAAUAAUGCAAGAGGUAUUUCUUUAGUUUUGUUAUUAUCGGUCUAUUUUUACUAGUUUUUUUCACAACAGCUUCUAAAGGUUAGGAAAGAAGUUAAAUGCAUAGUGGAGAUCAGCUCUAGUGAGCUCUUUGAACAGUUGGCUUUAAAAUUUAGGCACGUUUGUGUUUAACCGAUUGUUUGGAAAUAUGAAACCAGUUCGUUUCAGGUUCAAUUAGCCUUUGAUGCAGAAACAGUCAUUAGAAGUCCAUGAUGAAAAAUGUCCUUGGUCAUCUGUAGCUAGUACUCUCAUGGUUAAUUUACUGGAGCUCAUUAUUGCAUAAACAUGUCCAUUUCUUGCGUAGUCUGCUUUGAACUGCCAUUGAUCAGUCAAUGUUGACGCAGUCAACUGUGCCAUGUUCAAGGUCUUCAAGAAGCAACUAAAAAACACCCGACUUAAGACGGAUACAGUAAGGAUUGUGUAAUGGAGAAAGGUUGACCGAAAAGGGAGCACCUUUGAAAAGGUUGUUAAUAUUGGAGGUAUUUUUCACUUUUCAAAGGCAGGAAUUAAUUUGUAUAUAUUACAGAAAACCUUCAACUCUAGAUACUUCAACAGUUGAAUUCAAAAUGUAGAAAUGUUUGUACCAGGAUGUACGAAGCCAGUUUGUUUAAUGAGGCUGUUACAUAGAAGAGAGGCAUAAAAUGUCCAUGUUAAGCUAGGAGAAAGCCGUCCCCGACCAUCUGUAGCCUUUUCCUCCAUGAUGUCCUAGAGUUUGAAACAAGUUUUCAGUCACUUCUUUUAUGCCUUAGGCCCUAGAUGUUUUUUCAUCUUGUACAGCCUGCAGAAAACUUCCUCUAGGAACUUUUUCCAAUGUGCCAACUUGAAUAUUGCCAGAUGCAAAGAUUAGAUCAUUGAAAAGGAAAUUGUAAAAAGACAUAGACCAAGGUUGAACUAAAUGACUAGAAAGAGGAGUUUUUAAAGGUGAUGAUAAUACUAAAGGUAUUUUUUUCUGUGUUAUUGAUAUAUUUUUUUAUUAAUAGAAGUUAGCUUAAGGUCAGGUAAGACUUUAUACACAUAGUGGGGAUCAGCUUUAGGAAGUUCCUUAAAUAGCUUUUAUUUAUUUUUUAGUUAUAAUUUAUAUUUCUUUUAUUUUUUAGUUUUAAUUUAUAUUUAGGAGUGUUUAUGUUUAACCCAUUGUUUGGAAAUAUGACACCAGUUUGUUUCAGGGUUUAUAAGUCUCUGAUGCAGAAAUACAGUCAUUUAAAGUCUUGUGUUCAAGCUAUAGAUGAAAAAUGUCCAUGGUCAUCUCCAACAAGUACUCUCCAUUGUAAAUGUUCUGGAGCUCAUUCUUUGGUAAUCCUGUCCAUCUCUUGCGGAGUUCCCAUAGAUUAGAACCAUCAUCGAUCAGUCUUUUAAUGAUGAAGCACCAAAAAACACUUCACAUUGAGGGAUACAAUAGGGAUUUUGUAAUGGAGUAAGGUUGACUGAAAAGAGAGCAAGUUUGAAAAGGUGACGCUAAUAUUGGAGGUAUAAAUUUCUCUCGUGUUGGUUGUAUCAAUGAAAGUUACAUAAAUUUUUAGACAGUAUUUCUCAAAACAGCUUUUUAAAGGCAGGAAUUAAUUUGUAUAUAAUCCAGGAGACUUUUCUUAACUCUAGGUACUUCAUUAAACAGUUAAAUUCAAAAUAUAGGAUUGUUUUGUACCAGGAAAUGUGAAGCUUAGUUUGUUUCAGGUUAAAUGAUGUUCUUAUACAGAAAAGAGGCAUAACUUGUUCAUAAUAAUGUUAGAAGAAAAAAGUCCCUGACCAUCUGUAACAGUCCUCCAUGAUGUCCCUGUUUGUUUGAAACAAGUUUCUCAGUAACUUCAUUAUUGCUAAGAUGUUUCUUCAUCUUGAACAGCCUCUGGUUUAUUUCCCCUUGGAACAUUUUUCAUGUUGCAGACUUUAUUGUUGCCAUAUGCAAAGGAAAUUGUAAAAAGUUAUCAAUUGGGCAAGGGUAAAACUACAUGACAGGACAGAAGAGAUUUAAAAGAUGAUGAUUAAACUAGAGGUACUUUAGUGUUAUUUAUAUCAGUCAAUGAAAGAUUAUGGAAGUUUCUACCAGUUUUUUUUUUUCACAACUGCUUUUAAAGGUCAAGAAAUAUUUUAUACACUUAUUGGGGAUUAGC
rnacentral:lncRNA from 1 species